AUUGAACGCUGGCGGCAGGCCUAACACAUGCAAGUCGAACGGUAACGGGAAACAGCUUGCUGUUUCGCUGACGAGUGGCGGACGGGUGAGUAAUGUCUGGGAAACUGCCUGAUGGAGGGGGAUAACUACUGGAAACGGUAGCUAAUACCGCAUAACGUCGCAAGACCAAAGAGGGGGACCUUCGGGCCUCUUGCCAUCGGAUGUGCCCAGAUGGGAUUAGCUAGUAGGUGGGGUAACGGCUCACCUAGGCGACGAUCCCUAGCUGGUCUGAGAGGAUGACCAGCCACACUGGAACUGAGACACGGUCCAGACUCCUACGGGAGGCAGCAGUGGGGAAUAUUGCACAAUGGGCGCAAGCCUGAUGCAGCCAUGCCGCGUGUAUGAAGAAGGCCUUCGGGUUGUAAAGUACUUUCAGCGGGGAUGAAGGGAGUAAAGUUAAUACCUUUGCUCAUUGACGUUACCCGCAGAAGAAGCACCGGCUAACUCCGUG
rnacentral:rRNA from 1 species